GACGAACGCUGGCGGCGUGCUUAACACAUGCAAGUCGAACGGAAAGGCCCUGCUUUUGUGGGGUGCUCGAGUGGCGAACGGGUGAGUAACACGUGAGUAACCUGCCCUUGACUUUGGGAUAACUUCAGGAAACUGGGGCUAAUACCGGAUAGGAGCUCCUGCUGCAUGGUGGGGGUUGGAAAGUUUCGGCGGUUGGGGAUGGACUCGCGGCUUAUCAGCUUGUCGGUGGGGUAGUGGCUUACCAAGGCUUUGACGGGUAGCCGGCCUGAGAGGGUGACCGGCCACAUUGGGACUGAGAUACGGCCCAGACUCCUACGGGAGGCAGCAGUGGGGAAUAUUGCACAAUGGGCGGAAGCCUGAUGCAGCAACGCCGCGUGCGGGAUGACGGCCUUCGGGUUGUAAACCGCUUUCGCCUGUGACGAAGCGUGAGUGACGGUAAUGGGUAAGGAAGCACCGGCUAACUACGUG
rnacentral:rRNA from 1 species